rnacentral:rRNA from 1 species
AUUGAACGCUGGCGGCAGGCCUAACCCAUGCAAGUCAAGCGGAGCGGGGGAGGGGGGAGUAAUGCCUAGGAAUCUGCCUGGUGGUGGGGGUUAAGGCCGGAAAACGGGCGCUAAUACCGCAUACUAUAAGAUAAGCCUAGGUCGGAUUAGCUAGUUGGUGGGGUAAAGGCCUACCAAGGCGACGAUCCGUAACUGGUCUGAGAGGAUGAUCAGUCACACUGGAACUGAGACACGGUCCAGACUCCUACGGGAGGCAGCAGUGGGGAAUAUUGGACAAUGGGCGAAAGCCUGAUCCAGCCAUGCCGCGUGUGUGAAGAAGGUCUUCGGAUUGUAAAGCACUUUAAGUUGGGAGGCGUUACCAACAGAAUAAGCACCGGCUAACUUCGUGCCAGCAGCCGCGGUAAUAC